rnacentral:ncRNA from 1 species
UUUAUCCAGAACGGCAGAGGGCACGGCCCGAUGAAGCCUAGCAACCGGUCCUAGCAUUCUAGGGAAGCGGGAUACGGUGCUAAUUCCGGCGUCCUUCCCAGGUACCUGGGAAGGACGAAAGAUGAG